UUUACAGUAGUAAAGGACAACAGGUACAAACCGGUGAAGAAACACAACAGAGCCGACAGACACCCCACCCAGGCCCACGCAGCAAACAGGCAGAAACAUUUUCCUCGGGACUUUAAGCAAGCGAGAGAUGGUAGGUCAGUGUCGGGUGACUAUAAAAGGCAGAGAUGGCCAUCAAGCAGCAAUGGAUCCUUACAGAAGGAUGGCAGGCAGGAACUAUAGACAUUUAACUGACCCCACGAUGCAGAACCGCAGUCACCCACCGAGGCGUCCCGUUAACACACACUUGGAAAACUGCACACCACAAUCCGGGAAAAUGAGGUCACCUUUCCUGGGCUUGCUUUUGCAACCACACUUGAAAGCGGGGCUCUUACACAACACUGCAGCAAACUUGAUACUUAACUGAUUACCUUCUUAGACAGAAACCAUAAUUAUAUAUCUAGCAAGGACCAGAAGAAUCUGAGAUCAUGUUCAAUUUCCAAAUGGGACGGGACAAUUACUUUCUUGGACAUUAUAAAAAGGGUGGGGGGUGGGUUUCACUAUGCCACCCUUACCGAUGUAUCCAUUACCAGAUGCCAGAAGCAAGUGGGCAUAUGCCGGCCUGGGCCACAGUAGGAAGACUCCUCACAGUUUUUAAGAAGCACUGGUCUUUUUCCCUUAACUUCACCAUAUGCUUGACAAAGCUCAAAUUUACAGUAUUUCACAUUUUAAUAUCCUAUGCCUACAACAAACGGGUGGAAUUCUGCUUCUCUGCCCCUCCCCACAUCCCACAGGUAUGCCCACUGGGUAAUGUGACCACAAGCUCUCUCUACCUGAUCAGGACAAGUCACACCGGAGGAAACCAUAGUUCUAGGGAUUAGACUCAGGCCACAGGGUGAGAGUCUGUACAUCCAGACCCAAGUUUGGGGGAGAAAAAAUUUUAGAAAUGGGAGGAAACAAAUGAAAACAAAACAAACCCCAAAAACCCCACGCCUCAUUUCCCCCAAACCAAACCCUCCUAACGACCAGGGUAUGUAAUGCUCUCGCCCUGCAGCGUAUUCUGGAUGUAGUUCACUCCAAGCGCAUCGGGAAAGGAGACUCUUUUCGGUGACUCUGGCUUCUGCGGACUCUUGUGUGAUUGGUGUGGCUGCAUGGUCACCAUUCAAUAGCAAAUGUCAGGAAAAUGGCUGGGUGUGGGGACGCUGGCUCGGGAGGCCGUUCCUCCCGUCUGCUGCUGGAAUACAUCAAUGGUGUCCUCAUCCUCCAUCUCCAGCUUUCGAAGUGUCUGUUUCGUUGAUUGGUUGUCCAUCAAACCGGAAUCGAAUCUGCCUCAUUGACAACACGUACCUGCCUCUCACAGUAGGCCUUCAUCAGCUUGCUCAGCGGAGUGUGCCUCUUGAUCUUGAACUGCACCACUGAGCCAUCCUGCCCUGCCACUUUCAGGUUGAUGUGGUCGUUCUCUGUCUUCACACCCUCCUUGGGCUUCUCUUCCGACAUGGUUGCGCGGCGACGGCGGCGGCAAGCGCAGCGGGAACCGGUGGCACUGGAGCGGGCGAGUCACGCUCUCUGCCC
ensembl:lncRNA Sumo3 small ubiquitin-like modifier 3